GGUGGAUUUGGGGAGACGCCAUGGAGCCAUGGCCAGAGUUAGACAUGCCCAAACUUUGCCGGUAUGAGGAGCUACUGCUUUGGAUCACAGUGCUGGCAGUGGAAAGAGGGAGAAGAGAGUGGCCUGAAAUGAACAAGUUCUUAUGAGUGUAAGACCCCCUUAAGAUGAGCAGAUUUUUUCCUGCCACACAAUCAACUGAAGAUGCUUCUUUGCUACAGACCUCAAAAGACAAAUUAAUUGAUCACAGAUUGGACAUUUCAAAACUGGCUGCCAUGAGAAGAAAUGGCAAAGCUUUUCUGAAGACACUGAAGCAAACCUGGCAAAUGCUGCAGACGGAAACAAGGCUCCAUUUUUGCCUUCAUUGAAAGGAGAAUCAACAUUUGUGUUGAGACAUUUGACAGAGAGUAGCUGUGCCUCAGCCAAAGGCCUUUCCCAAUUUGAUCGUGCGGUAGUUAGGAAACCUUUUGAACAAUGACACUUGGAAGAAUGGAGACUGUAAGCCUGUCAUCUGAUGAAGAAACAGUGACAGCCAAAUGCCCUUUACCAAGUACCAUUAUACUGUUCGUGCCUCAGCAUUCUCUCAACUGUCCCCUAGGUAGCUGUCAGCAUUAGCAUACUUGUGUUUCAUAUAGAGAGUCUAAAGUCUGUAGCUGAGCUCCGACAUAUACUCUUCCCUUGUUCUGGCCAAUACUUUCUCUCCUAUUCUCUGAAUUGCUCUCAAUAGUGGAUUUCAGAAACCUUAGCAAUCUGAGGGUCUGGGCAACUGAGGUAGAGCAUAGAGAGAAAGAAGACAGAGAGAAUGAAUGCAGGAGCAUUUUCUACCUCUAACAUAGGCUAAUAACACAUGUAUACGAGGACAUAUGGUGACCAUCUGGAAAGGAAACUACUUACGUCACUGCUGAAAUUCAGACCAAUAAUGCAGUCAGUUUAGAAAGAAUUGUAAUGCCCUAGUCUCCUAAAAGCUUUCCUUCUGAGAGAAUGCCCUUGGCAAACCAUGAUUAAGAGCAGCAGUAUAUUUGUUGGCACACAAAAUGAAAUGUCAGUUGAUAUAUGGGGCUGUGAUACUCCUUGACCUUAAUUGUCUUCUGGAACAUUGUGUCCUAAUCCUCCCAUGGAUGUCACUGUUAAUGAUCUGGCCAUGCAAGCUUAUACAAACAAAAGGGACAUCCCACAAAGGGAUCAACGACAUUUCCAUCAAUCAGGUGCCCUGAAGGAUGCGCCAGAUAAACAGUUCCAGCUGGUGGUAAGUAGAGAUAGACCAGGGAUAAACCAACUGUAGUCCUUGGUGAAAUCUGGUUCCUGACCUGCUCUUACAAAUAAAGUUUUGCUGAAACAUA